GCGCAGCAGGCGCGAAAACUUUACAAUGUGCGAAAGCACGAUAAGGGAACUCUGAGUGCCUCCUAAGGAGGCUGUUCAGGUGUCUAAAAAGCACCUGAAGGAAGGGCUGGGUAAGACCGGUGCCAGCCGCCGCGGUAACACCGGCAGCCCAAGUGGUAGCCACGUUUAUUGGGUCUAAAGCGUCCGUAGCCGGCUGGGUAAGUUCCUUGGGAAAUUUGGCUGCUUAACAGUCAAGCUUUCAGGGAAUACUGCCCCGGCUUGGGACCGGGAGAGGUCAGAGGGUACUCC
rnacentral:rRNA from 1 species